rnacentral:tRNA from 1 species
GCAGUGGUGACUCAGUGGUAGAAUUCUCUCCUUGCAUGCAGGGGACCUGGGUUCGAUUCCCAGCCAACGCA